UACAGAGACCUCAAGCGUUAUCCGGAAUCAUUGGGCGUAAAGCGUACCGAUAGGUUGUUUUACAAGUCAGGAGUGAAAUCUCAAGGCUCAACUUUGAGACUGUCUCUUGAAACUGUAAAACUAGAGGGGUAAAGAGGAAGCUGGAACGAACGGUGUAGUAGUGAAAUGCGUUGAUAUCGUGCGGAACACCAAUAGCGAAGGCAGGCUUCUGGGUACCACCUGACACUGCUAGGACGAAAGCGUGGGGAGCGAAUGGG
rnacentral:rRNA from 1 species